CACGCUGCUGUCUUUCUAGCUGGUCAUGACCGAAAAAACGCGAUCAAGGGUACACGCGGCCGAAAUGGGUUUCCUCAGGAGGGUGGCUGGCGUCUCCCUUAGAGAUAGGGUGAGAAGCUCAGUCAUCCGAGAGG